rnacentral:tRNA from 1 species
CGCGGGGUGGAGCAGCUCGGUAGCUCGCUGGGCUCAUAACCCAGAGGUCGCAGGUUCAAAUCCUGUCCCCGCUACCC